GAUGAACGCUGGCGGCGUGCCUAAUACAUGCAAGUCGAGCGAACGGACGAGAAGCUUGCUUCUCUGAUGUUAGCGGCGGACGGGUGAGUAACACGUGGAUAACCUACCUAUAAGACUGGGAUAACUUCGGGAAACCGGAGCUAAUACCGGAUGAUAUUUUGAACCGCAUGGUUCAAAAGUGAAAGACGGUCUUGCUGUCACUUAUAGAUGGAUCCGCGCUGCAUUAGCUAGUUGGUAAGGUAACGGCUUACCAAGGCAACGAUGCAUAGCCGACCUGAGAGGGUGAUCGGCCACACUGGAACUGAGACACGGUCCAGACUCCUACGGGAGGCAGCAGUAGGGAAUCUUCCGCAAUGGGCGAAAGCCUGACGGAGCAACGCCGCGUGAGUGAUGAAGGUCUUCGGAGCGUAAAACUCUGUUAUUAGUGAAGAACAUAUGUGUAAGUAACUGUGCACAUCUUGACGGUACCUAAUCAGAAAGCCACGGCUAACUACGUG
rnacentral:rRNA from 1 species